AGUAAGAGUUAAUUACCGAGAACUAGGUUUCUUAGCGAGAAACAACCCGAGGGGCGUGACCCGAAGAAAGCAUCCCGAGGGCCGAAGGCCCGAGGGAUGCUUUCUGAGGGCUACGCUCCCGAGGGAUGUUUCUCGCUAAGAAACCGAUGUUCGAGGUAAUUAACUAACUUAGUUUAAAUUUGUAAGGAUUUUAAAAAAUGAUCAUACUUACGCCCACUACUCAUUAAGGAAUUCAAAGGUACAUGCAUGUACAGUAUAAGCAUAAACUAAAAUUAUUACAAGGCAGAACAAGGAAAUGCAGUGAAUGGUCAAGUGCAUGCACAAGGUACAACAAAAGGAAAUUAAGGAAAGUCACGCUUUAUAAAUUUUCUUUUGUCUGUAUACGUUAAAGCAUUCUAUAUGAUUUGUGUACUUCGUAAACACUUAUAGCAGUCAUAUUUUGUUAAUUAACUAGGGAAAUGAAUUAAUAUUCUAAAUUAUUGUUCGUACAGCAUACUGUAAAUUCAUAUAGAAAUUUAGCUAGACAUGUAGAUGAACCAUUUUCUUCAGUUAUGUAUGUAUGCAUGCAUGGAGAAUGAGCGGUGGUUAAACUAUGAACGACACAAACAGCGACGAAGAUAUCUUUAUACCGCAAAAGGAUGGACUGGUCAUCGCGACAUAAGAUCGUUGCAGAAAUAUGAAAGACCCGAUAUUAAAACAAAACUGAUUGAAAUAUCAAAAUCUUUGGAUUGUCGCGUUAGCAGGGGCUGCAAAGUUAACAGUGCGAGUGAAGACCCGAUGCCGAUGGCUGAGAAGAGAAAUUCUACGAAGGAAGAGAUGCAGCAUAAACAUAUGGAAAGGAAGAGAGCACGGCUAGAAAUGCCGGAGGGAAGUUCUUUUUAACUUCUAUUAAUUUGAACAAUUUGAGUUUGAGUUUUAUCGUACGAAAUAUAUAGCUAUAGCGUGUUAGGGACAGAGUGGAACAACUGGUACAUGUAUAGUAUACGGUACAUUGUCAGUGUAAUUAUUAACUUUUGUAAUGUUUUGAUUGUAGUGUGUGUAAAAGCAGUAAGUCGGUGCAUUUCUGCAUCGGGUUUUAUCUGUAUAAAACCCGGCUUUCCUAGGGUUUUAUCUAUAUAAAGCCGGGUUUUAUAUAGAUAAAACCCGUGAAUUUAUAAUUAUUAAUUCAAUUCUAUUCAUCAACCCCACUUUUCCCUGGAGAGAUAUCAAAUCCCUCCCCUUGCUUUAAGAAUCUUACCCAAAUAAAACCCGACUGAGAAC
rnacentral:lncRNA from 1 species